AUGCCUAUCACUAUUAGUGACCAUGCUCCCAUUCUUGUCUCUACAGAAGGCAAGUUUAAAAAGCCUUUGCAAAAUUUUAAAUUUGAGAAUUGGUGGCUUAUGAAAGAAGAUUUUCAACCUUGUGCAAAAUCUGCUUGGCAAAGCACUGCUCAUAGGCCUUUUUAUGCAAGGACUAACCACCUUGCAGGAACAUUGAAGGAAUGGUGUAGAAAGAAAAAACCAAUUAACCAGGAACUCAAUCUAUUGGAGGAGCAAAUAAAAAAUAUACAAAUGAAGCCGAUGCAGGAACAAAAUCAUAAGCUUGAAGCAUCUCUCAUGAACAGGUAUGAAGAAAAUCUAACAAAGUUGACAGAAUUUUACAGCCAAAGGGCAAAAAAACAUUGGGCAACUAAAGGAGACAGGAACACAAGUUACUUUCAUAAUGCUGUCAUCAAGCGCAGAAGAAAGAAUCAGAUUGUUUCAAUUACAGAUACUAAUAAUGUGACUCAUUUUAAUCCUGAAAAAAUUGCUCAUGUAUUUGUGGACUAUUUCAAACAAAAUUUCCAGACUAAUAAUGCAGAUCAUGGAAGGCCAUACCUACGAACUCAACCAGAUGCUCAUCAGCAAGAUCCUACUACUAGUAUUCCCGACAAGCAGGAGAUUUGGCAGAUACUAAAUGAGAUGAGAAGAAAUGCUUCACCAGGCCCAGAUGGACUAAAUGUAGCCUUCUAUAUAGCAGCAUGGGAAUGGAUUGGAGAUGAUGUAACUGAUUUGGUGAUGCAACAGGAAGGAGAGCCGCAGCCAAGGGUCAUUGCAGACAAUACAAAAGCCCUUUUAAAGCAGAUAUGGAAGGCCAAAGACAUUGCACCGAGGGUUCAAACAUUUGCAUGGAGGCUAAUUAGAAAAGCGCUUCCAACAGGUAAAAGAGCAGGUAAAUAUUCGAAGCAUAUAGAUAAAGAAUGCUCAAGAUGCAGUGCUGAAGAAGAUGAACAACAUAUCUUUUUUACUUGUCCUUAUGCUAGAGCAGCUUGGUUUGCAAAACCAUGGUACAUUAGAAUGGACAACUUUAUUAGUAAUUCCACUUCAAUCAUCACCAUUAUUUUAAAUCUGCUCAGUUCAGACCAUCCUCAUGCAAGUUUAACCAAUAUUUUCACAUUCAUGUGGUGUCUAUGGAAAGUUAGAAAUGAGAAGCUUUUCUAA
rnacentral:rRNA from 1 species